GACGAACGCUGGCGGCGUGCUUAACACAUGCAAGUCGAACGGAAAGGCCCUGCUUUUGUGGGGUGCUCGAGUGGCGAACGGGUGAGUAACACGUGAGUAACCUGCCCUUGACUUUGGGAUAACUUCAGGAAACUGGGGCUAAUACCGGAUAGGAGCUCCUGCUGCAUGGUGGGGGUUGGAAAGUUUCGGCGGUUGGGGAUGGACUCGCGGCUUAUCAGCUUGUUGGUGGGGUAGUGGCCUACCAAGGCUUUGACGGGUAGCCGGCCUGAGAGGGUGACCGGCGACAAGGGGACUGAGAGACGGACCAGACGCCUACGGGAGGCAGCAGUGGGGAAUAUUGCACAAUGGGCGGAAGCCUGAUGCAGCAACGCCGCGUGCGGGAUGACGGCCUUCGGGUUGUAAACCGCUUUCGCCUGUGACGAAGCGUGAGUGACGGUAAUGGGUAAAGAAGCACCGGCUAACUACGUG
rnacentral:rRNA from 1 species